rnacentral:rRNA from 1 species
GGCUCAGGAUGAACGCUAGCUACAGGCUUAACACAUGCAAGUCGAAGGGCAUCACGUGAGGCAGCAAUGCAUCUGGGUGGCGACCGGCGAAUGGGUGAGUAACGAGUAUCCAACCUGGCCCAUACUCGGGCACAGCCCCGCGAAAGCGGGAUUAAUGCCCGAUGCGGCGUAUCUCCCGCAUGGGAAUUACGUCAAAGGUAUAAACUGGUAUGGGAUGGGGAUGCGUCCGAUUAGCUAGACGGCGGGGUAACGGCCCACCGUGGCGAUGAUCGGUAGGGGUUCUGAGAGGAAGGUCCCCCACAUUGGAACUGAGACACGGUCCAAACUCUUACGGGAGGCAGCAGUGAGGAAUAUUGGUCAAUGGCCGCAAGGCUGAACCAGCCAAGUAGCGUGAGGGGAAUGACCGCCCUAUGGGUCGUAAACCUCUUUUGCACGGGAAUAACCGCACCCACGCGUGGGUGCCUGCAUGUACCGUGCGAAUAAGCAUCGGCUAACUCCGUGCCAGCCGCUGC